rnacentral:rRNA from 1 species
CCCUAUGGGGCGCAGCCUUUGCCAACCAACCGCGUGGCAGGCACCUCAUCACCAGUGCUGUCGAACACCCGGCUGUGCUGGAGGUUUGUCAUUAUCUGGAGAGCCAGGGCUUCUUAGUAUCCUACCUACCGGUGGACAGAUUUGGUAUGGUCAGUCCGAAUGACCUGGCUAAUGCUCUGACGCCCCAAACCAUCCUGGUGAGCAUCAUGCAUGCUAAUAACGAGGUAGGUACGAUCCAACCAAUUGCCAGGCUGGCAGAACGGGCACAUGAAAAAGGGGCGCUAUUUCACACAGACGCCGCCCAGUCUGUAGGCAAGAUCAAGGUGGACGUGCGAGAAUUGGGGGCUGAUCUGCUCUCGAUCGCAGGGCACAAACUGUAUGCACCCAAAGGAAUUGGCGGGGGAGC